rnacentral:rRNA from 1 species
AGAGUUUGAUCCUGGCUCAGAGUGAACGCUGGCGGCGUGGAUUAGGCAUGCAAGUCGAGCGAUCCCACACCCAGCUUUGAUGUUCCGUAAGGAGUGUUGAAGCUGGGUGUGGGAUAGCGGCAGACUGGUGAGUAACACGUGAGUAAUUUACCUUUAAGCCGGGGAUAGCCUUGCGAAAGCGAGGGUAAUACCCGAUGUGUUCAUUUUCGCUUAUGCGAAAAUGAGUAAAGGUGGCCUGUAAGGGUUGUUGCUUAAAGAUGAGCUCGCGUCCUAUCAGCUUGUUGGUAGGGUAAUGGCCUACCAAGGCAAUUGACGGGUAGCUGGUCUAAGAGGAUGGUCAGCCACACGGGGACUGAGACACUGCCCCGACUCCUACGGGAGGCUGCAGUCGAGGAUCUUUAGCAAUGGGCGAAAGCCUGACUAUGCGACGCCGCGUGAGGGAUGAAGGUUUUCGGAUCGUAAACCUCUUUCAAUGGGGAAGAAACCCCGCCUUAAUAGGGCAGGGUUGACGGUACCUAGAGAAGAAGCCACGGCCAACUCCGUGCCAGCAGCCGCGGUAAUACGGGGGUGGCGAGCGUUACUCGGAUUUAUUGGGUGUAAAGGGCAGGUAGGUGUUCCGCCAAGUUAGAAGUGAAAUCCUUUGGCUUAACCAAAGAACUGCUUCUAAAACUGGCGGGAUUGAGGCUGGAAGAGGAGAGCGGAAUUCCCGGUGUAAGGGUGAAAUCUGUAGAUAUCGGGAGGAACGCCAGUGGCGAAAGCGGCUCUCUGGUCUAGCUCUGACACUGAACUGCGAAAGCUAGGGGAGCAAACAGGAUUAGAUACCCUGGUAGUCC